CAGAAACGGAAAAGAUAGAAGACGAAGAGGUCGGCCGGCCGGUCCUUUAUCAAAAUUACCCGCUACAUAGGAAUGUCACUCUACGAAAUAAUAAUAAUAAUAAAUAAUAAAAAGCACCCUUAGUCCCAACCGCCAAAAUGCCACACGGCACCACCAAACUGCGGCCACUUUGAUUAGUCCCACCUCUCCUAAUCCAAUUAUUUUAUGCUGUGGCUCUUUAACGACCAACGGCCCAGAAAACUUUCCUUUCCUCUCAACAGUUAGGAACCUGAUGCUGAUGCUCAUCGCCACUCUCUCUCUACAAAGACCAACAUGUCCCUGUCCUCCAUCCCAUCGUCCACCUGCAUUUUCAAUUCAAACUCUUCCGCCGUCCAGAAUUCCAUCCAAACCUCUGAAACGGUGUAGCGUAGUAGGAGUAGCAGUAGUAGCGUUGCUGUUGCAUGAUUUUCACUGUUGCUAAUCACAUCUUCUCUUCAAAUAAGGGAAGGUGGAAUUUUUCCUCAUCUUCUGCUUAGGUGUCAGACAUGAAAGAUUCAACUUGAUAGCAUGCCGUCAGUAUUGAAUAUGCGUAAUUAAUGAUAAUGGGACGUGAAAUAUCUUGACCAUUUACCAGUAGUGGAUUUUGGUUGGCAUGGUAGCUAAUUACCCCGACAAUGUUCAGUCUACGGCUGCAGCAACGGAUCGUACAGCUAUGGAAGUCAGUACAACCGGCUGCUUCUUCAGUAGCCCGGCUGCAUUAAACGGUAGCAGACAGCCUAGCCUAUGCUCUCAGUAAAUUCUGAGAAAUUGGUUUUCAUAGCCGCCCUCUAGUCUAGGGGCAGUAGAUAUAUGUAAACGUGACUCUCUGUGUUUGGAUUCAUAUUUUUUUUUUUCAAAAAUAAUAAGUUUUACAAAUAAAAUGCUACGAUAAUACACAAUAACUUACAAAAAAAAAAAAAUAUCUUAAUUUUUCAAAAACAACUAAUUCAAACAA
rnacentral:lncRNA from 1 species